CAUUAAAUUUACUGUGUUAGUUUUUUUUUAUCUUUUAAUUGUUGGGCAUUUGGAAAAACCUGUAUUCAUUCUUAUUGUUAAUGGUUUAAAUGUUAGAAAUCUUUAAUCUUCAACUGUUUCAUACAAUUUCUACCAAUCAGUUGCAGACUCAAUAACAGAUUGUAAAAAGCGAUUUGGAAGCGAACUCAGCGGAUUGAAAGCGCUUACUCAUCAUUAUCGGACAUUGGCAAUCAGCUGAUUUGGAGCAGCAAAGACGAUCAUUACCAUUACGCUGGUGAUUAACCCCGCACCCAGACCCCAACUACAGUACAAACGGCAACUGGGCCAUCAUCAUGGUUCGUUCGAAAGCAGCUGGAAGAUCUAGCGAUCGUGGUUACCAAACCAACCCAAACCGAACUGAACCGAGCCGAGGUAAGCCAAGCAGACCCAGUAGACUCACUAGACCCACCAGACCAAUCCAAGCCAAGUCGAGAAGAGACAAGACAACCAGGGACAAGACAAAGCCGUGGACAGCCAGACAAUCAGCCAGCCAAGCCAGGCAGCUAUUUUGGUGCUUGGCAACAAACAUGGCUCAAAAUGUACGGGACACAUCUCAGUAAGUAUUCGUAAGUCGACAAUAGGCAAAAAUUGAGG
ensembl:ncRNA lncRNA:CR44549 long non-coding RNA:CR44549